AAUACCAAAACCGACCCCACCCCAUGUGUUUUCUUCUUCUUCCAUACAAAUCCAACUAAAAAUUCAAAGACCCACCAGCAAUAUCAAUACAAACAAUAGUACCCGACCCCACCCCUUGUGUUUUCUUCUUCUUCCUUGCAAAUUCAGAAAAUUCCAAAAAAAAUCAGUAAAAGUCAAUACCAAGAACCUUAAUUUCUUCAUCCAACUACUCCACCCAUCACCAUUGAUAAUCCCUCCCUCCAUAUUCAAAUAUUGCAGACCUCAAGCUUGAUUUGUUGACUUUGGAUUAGAUAAAAAUCUCACCCAAAUCUGAUGCAAAUCAGAGCUAUGACAUCAAGUCCGGAUUUUUAGGGCUCUGUAUUCUUUGUCAUCGGAAGCUUUCGUCGGAGUUCUUUUAACGUGGUGGUGAAAUAGUUCGUUUCAACUCGUCGUCUCAAGUUCACUACCCAUAACCAAGUAAUCUGCUUCCGUUAUCUCUUUAAAUUCCCGAUUUUGCUUUGUGUUCGUUUUAAGUAUUUUAGUUGUUUGGAUUUAGUCACUGCUUAACAUGUAGAUUGAUGGGUAAAUGCCAUAUAGCUUUCUUUCUUUCUUUCUUUCUUUUUUUUUUUUUUUUUUUUAGACUUUUCCAGCUCAUAUUUAUUUCGUGUUGUUUGUUAGAAUUCAGCUUUUGAGUAGUGCAUUCUAGUUUCGUUUCCUGCAUUCUGUUUGCUCAAGGUGUUUCAAAAUUUUUAUGAACUUGUUGAUACCUCAUAAAUGUUGAGACAAUUUUUUUGAAAAUAUUUUAAACUUGUGGACUCCUUCUCCAUUCUAUUUGUUUGAAUCAGUAGACCUUUAAACUCAUGUUUGCUCCCUUCCUUGUGAGUCCUCUGUUCCGUGGAUACCAUGAUUUUUAUUAUUCUAUUACAUUGCUUUAGAUUCAUACAUGCAUUUGACUACAUUACUUUAUUAUCAUUAUUUUCUUUUGACAAAAAAGUAAAAAGUAAAGUUAAGUGUCAAUCAUUGGAAGUGAGAAAUAAUAUUUGUAUUGUUUUGUCUGCUACUGCCAAAGGGUGUUCUUCCAUGAUAUGUGUUAAUUGUCAAGAUAAUAGUUUAGUCACAUGAAUUUAAGUGUUACUUGUAUAACAAUGAGAGUUUAAGAGUUAAGAAAUUUAAUCAAUUUAAAUAAGAAUUAGCGUAAUUGUGAAGUUGGCUAUAAUAAUUCAUAUUAUUUUUUACUAUUAUUAUUAUUUUUAAAACAUUCCUUAUUAAAUUGAUAGUUUAGUCAUUGUUGGGUUCCAUUUAUUUGUUUAGAAAGACUUGCAUUAUUUUUCUUUAUUUAUUUGCAUUUUUGAGUCUAGCAUGCCACUAACCAUUUAGUUGAAGAUUGGAAUUUAAUAUGUCAUAUGUUCAAUUUUCCUUGAAUUUUAAUUCUACUAUAAGUUAAGUAUUAAUUUUUCUUCCAUGUUUACCUUGCAUGAACCCCUCCUUGGUUUGAGUCCAUUCGACUCUCUUCUAUCUCUUUCCUUUGCAUUUCGGAUGUGCUAUGGAGUUCCGAACUCAGCACUAUCGAGUUGAACUCAUCAUUUCAAGAAAUUGAAAGCUGAAACAGGUCUCGGAAAGCAGAAAAAUGGGUUGUAUACAUUUGAUAUACAGUGAUAUACAUUAAGGGUAUACAAAAAUGGGAAUUGAGCCAAAAGCCCAAAUCAGCAACGAGUUUGACCCUAAAAAAGGGGGCCCAAAUUUAUCUUCUCCUUUAUUCUCCUGGAUUAUUUAAUUGUGAUUACUUAUUGUUAGUUUUUUUUUAUUAACUCUAACUUUAAAUAACUUAAUUGAACUCCCCAAAGGAUGAACUAUUUUCUUUGUGUUGGUUUACUUUAAUAAAUUUUAUUUUAUCAA